rnacentral:lncRNA from 1 species
AUUUUUUUUAAUGAGGGUAGAGUUGUCACAUCCCACUCUUUUACUUUAGUAGCACAAAAAUAAAAACACGGAAGUGAAGUAGUCUAGUGGUUUAAUGCUCCUUAGCUAUCCUAAUGGUCCUAAGUUCAAAUCCCCUUGUUCACACCUUUUUAUUUAAUUUUUUACACAAAAACUCAUGUGAUUAUUAAGCUUGCCAUCCACCCCAUAGCUUCUAAGAAUAGGAUGAUUCAUUUCCUCCAUUAUGGGUCAAACUUACCAUAAGUUGAGGGAGCAUGAUCCCCCUUUGUACUCAAUGUCUCCCUCUCUUUCCAUUUCAUCCAACCCUUUUCAUAGAAGAGGCCCACUAAACCUAGACCAAUUUUAGCAACCUCUCCUCUCACUCACCCACCUCUCAUUGCCGUCCCCUCCUCCCUUUCUCCCAUUUCUCUCUUUUUCCUCUACUAUUCUCACAUAUUUUCUCUCUUUUUGCAAAAUCACCACCUUUUUAUCUUUUCAUUUUUGUUUCCUUCCUCUAUCGUGAUCGAACCCUUCACCACUGACCACCACACCUCGUAGCCACCAUUUCUCCUCCUCCCCUCUUUAUUUUCUCCGUCGCCGUAAAUU